CAAUAUUGUAAAGAUGUCAGUUCUUCCAUAUAUAUAUACAUGUCAGUAUAUACACAGACACAUAUACACACAUAAUCCCAGUAAUGCAAUCCCAGUUACAGCUCAUUGUACUGCAUACUUAGGAUUUUGUACUUUUCUUUAUAUAUGUUAUAGUUCAAGUAACAAUGUACUUAUUAAUAAAAACAUUUUCCACUAAAAUAUAUGUAUAUGCUUUUAAGACAUCUGGAGUCUUGUACAUUUUUCAUAAAGUGAAGUAAAUGAUCUUACAAACCAUUAAUAUUUUAGGGAAAAAUGACAACUUCAGUUGUGAUCUAAGUUAAUCAUGAAUGCUGUCUCUAUUUUGUUACAUUGGUUAGUAAUAUCGACCAGAUUAGAUAGUAGAUUGAGAAACCCUUAGUAUGAAACCAGUUGAAGGUUUAUAUUGAAAUAUCUAACUUUUUCUACCCUUUAGUUAAAUGAAGCAAGUGAAGAAAACAGGAAGAUAGACAUUCAGGCUGAAAGAGUUCAAGCUCGUUUAGAUAAUUUACAGAGGAAGUACAAGUUUAUCACAAUACAGAGAUUGAAAGGAAGUUCCCAUGCUGUUCAUGAAAUGAAAAGUUUAAAAUAAGAAAAAGCACCAGUUUCAAAAACUUACAAGGUACCACUUAAUGGGCAAGUUUAUGAACUUUUAACUGACUUCAUGGACUGGAUUUCGGAUCAUCAUCUUAGCAAAGUGAAACAUGAAGAAUCUGGAAUGGAUGGUAAAAAACCACAACUCAAAUUUGCUUCCCAGAGAAAUGAUAUUCAGGAGAAGUGUGUAAAGGUUUGUUUUUUAAUUUGAAAUAUGUGAUUCAGAAUAUAUGAAGAUUAAAAAAGGAAAA